rnacentral:rRNA from 1 species
GAAAGAUGGUUCUGCUAUCACUCUUGGAUGGACCUGCGGUGCAUUAGCUAGUUGGUAAGGUAACGGCUUACCAAGGCAAUGAUGCAUAGCCGAGUUGAGAGACUGAUCGGCCACAUUGGGGCUGAGACACGGCCCAAACUCCUACGGGAGGCAGCAGUAGGGAAUCUUCCACAAUGGACGAAAGUCUGAUGGAGCAACGCCGCGUGAGUGAAGAAGGGUUUCGGCUCGUAAAGCUCUGUUGGUAGUGAAGAAAGAUAGAGGUAGUAACUGGCCUUUAUUUGACGGUAAUUACUUAGAAAGUCACGGCUAACUACGUGCCAGCAGCCGCGGUAAUACGUAGGUGGCAAGCGUUGUCCGGAUUUAUUGGGCGUAAAGCGAGUGCAGGCGGUUCAAUAAGUCUGAUGUGAAAGCCUUCGGCUCAACCGGAGAAUUGCAUCAGAAACUGUUGAACUUGAGUGCAGAAGAGGAGAGUGGAACUCCAUGUGUAGCGGUGGAAUGCGUAGAUAUAUGGAAGAACACCAGUGGCGAAGGCGGCUCUCUGGUCUGCAACUGACGCUGAGGCUCGAAAGCAUGGGUAGCGAACAGGAUUAGAUACCCUGGUAGUCCAUGCCGUAAACGAUGAGUGCUAAGUGUUGGGAGGUUUCCGCCUCUCA